GGGCCUGUGGUCUAGUUGGUCCAUGACAUCCGCCUUACUAGCGGGGGAUCGCCGGUUCGAAUCCGGCCGGGCCCA
rnacentral:tRNA from 1 species